rnacentral:rRNA from 1 species
GACGAACGCUGGCGGCGUGCUUAACACAUGCAAGUCGAACGGUAAGGCCCUGCUUUUGUGGGGUGCUCGAGUGGCGAACGGGUGAGUAACACGUGAGUAACCUGCCCUUGACUUUGGGAUAACUUCAGGAAACUGGGGCUAAUACCGGAUAGGAGCUCCUGCUGCAUGGUGGGGGUUGGAAAGUUUCGGCGGUUGGGGAUGGACUCGCGGCUUAUCAGCUUGUUGGUGGGGUAGUGGCUUACCAAGGCUUUGACGGGUAGCCGGCCUGAGAGGGUGACCGGCCACAUUGGGACUGAGAUACGGCCCAGACUCCUACGGGAGGCAGCAGUGGGGAAUAUUGCACAAUGGGCGGAAGCCAGAUGCAGCAACGCCGCGUGCGGGAUGACGGCCUGCGGGUUGUAAACCGCUUUCGCAUGUGACGAAGCGUGAGUGACGGUAAUGGGUAAAGAAGCACCGGCUAACUACGUG